rnacentral:lncRNA from 1 species
UGGAAAGAUAUGCAAAUGGCUGUCAGAAUCACAAAAGGUUUCAUAUAUAUAGUUCAUUAGGCAGAUGCCUUCCCACCCAAUAUCAGAGGCUGUCAUUUCCAGUUAAGCUGCAUCAGCAGCUAGUUUCAUUGAUCCCAACAGUUAUAUUAUACAUGGUACAGACCAGAAAUUCCACAAUUUUCGAAAACUUUCUUACUUCUAUGGUCACAUUAUGUUAAAACUUCAUAAUUUAAAAAAUCAACUUUCAAGAGACAAAUUACCUUGUUGUAUAGCCCAGUGGAGCAACAGGUGGCUAGAUGAGGAGUCAGAAAGCAUGGCAUGUAAAACAACCACUCAAAGAACCCAUCUGACGAGUUAUACGAAUUGAUACAGUUCUAUGUGAGGUCCCUGCAACUUGUGCUUGGUCGGUUAACACGGAGCU